GAGAGGCUUUGAAGAUGUAAUCACUAUUCUGCCAGAGGGCAUGGAUGGAUUGAACAGUCUCUUUCCCCCAACAUGACCACUGACUUCACCUUCAUCACUAUUCUGCCAGAGGGCAUGGAUGGAUUGAACAGUCUCUUUCACCCAACAUGACCGAGGGGUUAAAUCGUUACACCCACCAGGUCAUCUCCAUGUGACCGAGGGGUUAAAUCGUUACACCCACCAGGUCAUCUCCAUGUAACCGAGGGGUUAAAUCGUUACACCCACCAGGUCAUCUCCAUGUGACCGAGGGGUUAAAUCGUUACACCCACCAGGUCAUCUCCAUGUAACCGAGGGGUUAAAUCGUUACACCCACCAGGUCAUCUCCAUGUGACCGAGGGGUUAAAUCGUUACACCCACCAGGUCAUCUCCAUGUAACCGAGGGGUUAAAUCGUUACACCCACCAGGUCAUCUCCAUGUGACCGAGGGGUUAAAUCGUUACACCCACCAGGUCAUCUCCAUGUAACCGAGGGGUUAAAUCGUUACACCCACCAGGUCAUCUCCAUGUGACCGAGGGGUUAAAUCGUUACACCCACCAGGUCAUCUCCAUGUGACCGAGGGGUUAAAUCGUUACACCCACCAGGUCAUCUCCAUGUGACCGAGGGGUUAAAUCGUUACACCCACCAGGUCAUCUCCAUGUGACCGAGGGGUUAAAUCGUUACACCCACCAGGUCAUCUCCAUGUGACCGAGGGGUUAAAUCGUUACACCCACCAGGUCAUCUCCAUGUGACCGAGGGGUUAAAUCGUUACACCCACCAGGUCAUCUCCAUGUGACCGAGGGGUUAAAUCGUUACACCCACCAGGUCAUCUCCAUGUGACCGAGGGGUUAAAUCGUUACACCCACCAGGUCAUCUCCAUGUGACCGAGGGGUUAAAUCGUUACACCCACCAGGUCAUCUCCAUGUGACCGAGGGGUUAAAUCGUUACACCCACCAGGUCAUCUCCAUGUGACCGAGGGGUUAAAUCGUUACACCCACCAGGUCAUCUCCAUGUGACCGAGGGGUUAAAUCGUUACACCCACCAGGUCAUCUCCAUGUGACCGAGGGGUUAAAUCGUUACACCCACCAGGUCAUCUCCAUGUGACCGAGGGGUUAAAUCGUUACACCCACCAGGUCAUCUCCAUGUGACCGAGGGGUUAAAUCGUUACACCCACCAGGUCAUCUCCAUGUGACCGAGGGGUUAAAUCGUUACACCCACCAGGUCAUCUCCAUGUGACCGAGGGGUUAAAUCGUUACACCCACCAGGUCAUCUCCAUGUGA